GCCGAGGUGGAGGAAUAGGCAGACUCGCAUCUUUGAGGGGGAUGUGCCAGCGAUGGCGUGUGGGUUCAACUCCCACCCUCGGCACCA
rnacentral:tRNA from 1 species